GGCUCCAUCGUCUAGGGGACAAGGAUCUCUGAUUUUCGCUCAGAAGACACGGGUUCAAAUCCCGUUGGGGCUA
rnacentral:tRNA from 2 species